UCCUUCUCGGGGUCUGCACAAACUCAAUACCAGAUGCUAUGUGCCAAAGCACUUCUUUUGCUGGAACUCAAUCGUUUAGGUAUGAUGUGACAGGACUACCCUUCAAACUAUUAUUUUUCCAGUUGUGUGAGGAGUUUGACCGUGGCAUUGAUGUCUCUCUGGAGGAGGAGCACAGCGUCCAUGAUGCGGCUGCCUUGUUGAAGGAAUUCCUGAGGGACAUGCCAGACCCCCUACUCACCAGGGAGCUGUAAACAGCCUUCAUCAACACUCUGUGCGUAACGCAGCCAUCUGCGGGAAAGGGUCCCUGGAAUGUCCAGAUGUCCAACUCGCUCAUCAAAGCCUUGUGCAUGAAUUUCCUGAUAAGUUUUUUUGUCUUUAUUUAUCAGUCCCUAAUGAGGGGACUAUUUGGGGAAUUCUCUGAGAUUUACCCUGGGGAGAAUCAGCAAGAAGAAAGUUUCAGUAAAACAAAUGAAAAUAGCCAAGACAAAUUUGGGAUGCUUUCAAAUGACCCCUAAGCCUGCAGAAAGUGCUAUAAAUUGAUGCUUUGGAGCACCAGCGAGAGUUCACAUUGAGUCUGUGCCUAAAAAUAAGUGUAUGUUUCUGGUAUGAGGCAGGAGGGAGCCACAGGAAUGCAGAGUGAGGCGAGGGGGCAGGGAACGUUCCAUAGGAAGCAGGAUGGUGUAGCCCAGGAGCAGGACAUUGGGUGUGGCAGCUUCUGGGCUGUGGCUACAGAUCUCAUGGAGGAGAAAAGUAGGGGGAGGGGAGAGGAGAGGUAGACCAGAGCGCCGUCCGCAUCCAUAAUGUCUUCCUCCAACACUACCAUUAAAAGAGGAUCACAAGAUAAGAGGUGAAAUAUUCAGUCCUUGGAAAAUGUUGUUGGGUGUUAGACAUAAGGAAAAUACACAAAGACCCCUUAAUUUGGUAUUCACAAUAAUCUUUAUAAGUUUACCAGGCAUCCUACUUAAUCUUCUCAUUUUUCAGUCCCCAGAAAUGUAUGAAAGAUCUUGAUGCAUUUUGACUGAAUGAAUAUUAAUGAUUUUAAAUGGAAAAUGUGUUAACUGUUUACUUUAAGAAAUUCAUUUUGGUUGGUUUUUAAAGGUCUUUGUGUUUAUAUACACAAAUGGAAAAACAGUAGAGUAUAUGCUUAAUCAUUAAAAAAAAGAGGAUCACAAGAGAGAAGACACUGUCAUUGAGCUGUGUCUUAGGUAAGGACAAAGGAAAUUCUAUCUCUUGGGGAUUGUACAACAGAAAAGGGGUCCAUUAUAAACUCAGAUUUCAGAACCUUCACCAAUUUUCAGCCAUUGUUAGUAAAUAUUUACUAACAAGGAAUGACUGAAAUCCAAAAAGUUGGUUAUGCCAGGGAAAGGAGAGAGAAGAAAAUGAAGGAAAUUCAUUUACCUUUCCAACCUCGGUUAUCAUGCUUUCUCUAGAUGUUACCUUUCCCCAGGCCUAAUUCAUCUUUAUAUCCUUCAGAGAGCUGUGCUGCUCAAUAGCGAAAGCAAUGGGAGAAUGGGUGAAUGAAUGAAAUGUGGCUUUCUUUAAUAACCCCUUUCAUAAGCCAGUUGAGAGGGGGCCUUUCCUUGAUGCCUGCACAACGUGUCUCCCUUAACUAGAGCACCUCUUUUUGCUUUGUUUAGUGUUGGAGCCAGAGGAACAUCUGAGUACCUUGCAACUCCUCAUCUACCUUCUACCUCCCUGCAACUGCGAUACCCUCCAUUGCCUCCUGCAGUUCCUCUCCAUCAUGGCCAGGCACGCCAAUGACAACACCAGCAAAGACGGGCAAGAGGUACUCACCCUCUGUUGCCGUAGAUGCUAUGGCUCAUCCUUCUUCCUGCUUUAAAAGGGUCACUGGGAACAAAAUGACAUCUCUGAACUCGGCUACCAUAUUCGGACCCAACCUGCUGCACGAGCAGAAGUCAUCAGACAAAGAGUUCUGCGUGCUGAGUUCAUCCCGGGCUAAGGAGAGCAUGGCCAUCAUCACUGUGGUACAGAAAACGAUUGAAAAUUACGAAGCACUGUUCAUGUUUACAAACACCAUAAUUCCUACCUAUGCUGCUAGAGCCUUUUGUGACUUCUCCGA